rnacentral:piRNA from 1 species
UACUUGGUGUGACUGAGUUUUGUAUAUAGU